UUUACAAUACAUUAUUAAAGUUACUAAUAUCAGUUUUAUUUUUUCUGUGAUAAAUGCUUUAUCCUCAUAAAUAACAGCAAGAUGUAAAAAAUUACCAAUUUCAGGUUUUUCAGUAGAAUUAAGAUAUAAUAUAAACACACAUAUGUUAAGCUGACAGUACGUGCUGAAAGCACUCAAAAUUAGAUAUGUCAAAAAGACUCUUUUAAGGUUAUGAACGCAAGGAAAUCAAGUGAUAAAAAAAGAAAAGACAAUUGUUUGGCAAGGUCAUUAAAAGCAAGCAAGCCCUUAUACGAGCUAGAAGACGAGGACUUGAAAUCGACCAGCAGCUCUGAAGAUGACACUAAAGAGGACACUAAAGAGGACGAUAACUUAGUGAUGGCAUUUAUAGUCAACACACAAGUUGUCAAGGACAUUGGCAGUAUGGCAAUAGAGAUUGGUCACGGUGUGAUGGCGAUGUUACGUCUGUUGGAGAAAAACAAAAAAUACAAGAAUAAAAGUGACUUUUGGGCAGAUAAUGGGAGAAGAAAAGUGAUUGUGGACGGAGUAAACUACAAGAUGUUGCACCUACUUGAAACAAAAGCUUGGGCAAUGGGCUUGCCCACCACUAUAAUUCACGACAGACAUUACUGCUCAUUGGGCACUGUGGAGAACAAGUUGGCCGAUACUCUGUUGGUUGUAUUUGGUGAGAGAAAAGUCAUUAAAACGAUAACAUGCCACUUGGGCAAAUUUUGAAUCUUGAUUUAAUGCAGUAAAUGUCCAAUUACUUGAUUCUGUCUGGAUGACAUCCAUUCUCCAGAUUCUCGAGCAUGAAUGUGGAAAGAUGUUCGGAAAAUAAAAUUAUUUGCAAGAACAAGUAAAAA